AUCCAGCUGACGAGUCCUAAAUAGUACGAAACGUGCUUCCUGGAU
rfam:Schistosoma rodhaini strain Burundi genome assembly, scaffold: SROB_scaffold0011932